AUUGAACGCUGGCGGCAGGCCUAACACAUGCAAGUCGAGCGCGCGGCGGACGGGUGAGUAAUGUAUGGGGACUGCCCGUUAGGGGGGGGUAACCACUGGAAACGGUGGCGAAUACCCCCUAUUGUCGGAUAACCCAUAUGGGUUUAGCUGGGAGGUAAGGUAAUGGCUUACCUAGGCGACGAUCCCUAGCUGGUCUGAGCGGAUGAUAAGCCAAACUGGAACUGAGAAACGGCCCAGACUCCUACGGAGGCAGCAGUGGGGAAUAUUGCACAAUGGGCGCAAGCCUGAUGCAGCCAUGCCGCGUGUAUGAAGAGGGCCCUAGGGUGGUAAAGUACUUUCAGUCGGGAGGCGUUACCUACAGAAGAAGCGCCGGCUAACUCCGUGCCAGCAGCCGCGGUAAUAC
rnacentral:rRNA from 1 species